rnacentral:ribozyme from 1 species
UGUUUUUUUUUUUUUUUUUUUUUUUUUUUUUUCUCCGAAGCCAGUGAUGGCUAAAAAC